AUUGAACGCUGGCGGCAGGCUUAACACAUGCAAGUCGAGCGGAGAUGAGGUGCUUGCACCUUAUCUUAGCGGCGGACGGGUGAGUAAUGCUUAGGAAUCUGCCUAUUAGUGGGGGACAACAUUCCGAAAGGAAUGCUAAUACCGCAUACGCCCUACGGGGGAAAGCAGGGGAUCUUCGGACCUUGCGCUAAUAGAUGAGCCUAAGUCGGAUUAGCUAGUUGGUGGGGUAAAGGCCUACCAAGGCGACGAUCUGUAGCGGGUCUGAGAGGAUGAUCCGCAACACGGGGACUGAGACACGGCCCAGACUCCUACGAGAGGCAGCAGUGGGGAAUAUUGGACAAUGGGCGGAAGCCUGAUCCAGCCAUGCCGCGUGUGUGAAGAAGGCCUUUUGGUUGUAAAGCACUUUAAGCGAGGAGGAGGCUACCUGGAUUAAUACUCUAGGAUAGUGGACGUUACUCGCAGAAUAAGCACCGGCUAACUCUGUGCCAGCCGCCGCUGUAAUAC
rnacentral:rRNA from 1 species